UACAGAGGGUGCAAGCGUUGUUCGGAAUUAUUGGGCGUAAAGGGCGCGUAGGCGGUGCUGUAAGUCUGUAGUGAAAUCUCUGGGCUCAACUCAGAGUCUGCUAUAGAAACUGCAGUGCUGGAGUGUGGGAGAGGUGAGUGGAAUUCCCGGUGUAGCGGUGAAAUGCGUAGAUAUCGGAAGGAACACCUGUGGCGAAAGCGGCUCACUGGACCAUAACUGACGCUGAGGCACGAAAGCUAGGGGAGCAAACAGG
rnacentral:rRNA from 1 species